AGCUCAUUGAGCUAAACAGAAA
rnacentral:miRNA from 1 species